rnacentral:rRNA from 1 species
UACAGAGGGUGCGAGCGUUAAUCGGAGUUACUGGGCGUAAAGGGCGCGUAGGCGGUUAUAUAAGUGAGAUGUGAAAUCCCUGGGCUUAACCUAGGAACUGCAUCUCAUACUGUAUGACUGGAGUAUUGUAGAGGGUAGUGGAAUUUCCGGUGUAGCGGUGAAAUGCGUAGAGAUCGGAAGGAACACCAGUGGCGAAGGCGGCUACCUGGACAAAUACUGACGCUCAGGCACGAAAGCGUGGGGAGCAAACAGGG